CCUCCGCCACCCCCUCCGUACCCCAGUCACCCUCGCCUCCUUCCUCCGAUGACGACGCCGCCGCCGCCAAACCUUGCCGGAAGCCUAGGGUUUGCACCAGGAAGGUCAGGGGCGCCAAGAUCAGCACCCCGACCCCGACCCCGACCCCAACCCCGAGCCCCAAGCAGCAGCAACAGCCAGAGCAACCACCCCAUGCCGUCGUCGAUCCUCUCUACAGGGCGGUGCUCAUGAUCCCCACCGCCACCGCCGCCGCCACCACCACCACCAGCAAGCAGGAUCCCUUGGAGGACUUCCUCGCGCUCGCCCGCCAGCGCGGCCUCAUCUAGCCACCCACCCAUACCCAUUGCCGCCAGUGCAGGGAUGCAUUCUGCGUUUGGACAUGCAAUGUCGUUGGAAAAUGAUACAUUCUGUCACUCCGUGAUGCUAUCAAAUGGACAAAGUCUCGUUGCGCCUUUUCCGUGAUUGAUAGGUGGAUAACCAUAAGAAUUUUGACGAUGGUGAUUAGUUAGCGAGUUUCAGUCAUGCUGUCAGUGUUUCUUAUGCUUCGCCGUUUUGCUGUUCAGUGCCAUGACCAAGCACCAGGAUUCAGUCAUGCCUACGAAGAUAUAUGUAGUUGGAUAGGUUACAGCAAUUCGACACUUUGUGUGUCUCUUAACCAUUUUGCAACUCCACUGCUUCUGAUGUGCGCUGGUUCUCUACUCGCAAUUCUGCAGUCCUGCACACCUAAAAAUAUUAGCUUGUUUCAGCUGUCAGUGUAUGGCCACUGCUAUUUUUAUGCAAAUAAUUUGGCCACACAUUUGCGGUGUUUAUCUUGCUGCACAAUGCACUGAAUUGCUAAUAUAACAUACUUCCCAUUGAGCAUCAA